GAGCACUAGGGAAAUUUCAACAAGCAACAGAAAGGUGGGUGUUGCCAGAAAGACCAAGGAAGAAAGAGACUUGAGUCUGAGCCAAGAAGGUGGAUGCCUCCUCGAUGUGAUGUAGGAUUGGAAGAUAAGCAUGAGAGCUUUGUGCAGCUUCCAUGGAUUCUGAUUCUAACAGGCAGUUUGCCACUAUGAGAUAUAUCAGCCCUCAACGUCCAGGAUAUUCUGUGAUUUUGACACAGCAGUGUGCCCUCCAGAUGCCUAAAGAAGGAUGUGCUGUCAAGUUCCAGGGAGUUCAGUCAGCAAACAGCCAUCAUCUGUCAGCUCCUUGAGCCUGCCUUGGCUGAGCUAGUGCCUCCAGUACCAUGCUGACUAGAAACAGUGAUAAUAAAUAUCCUGCAAGUCACCUCAAAGGAAAGCUGUUCACAUUUCAUCAGUUAAGUAUAUUUGCUGUGGUUGUUUUACGUUAUCCUGUUAUCAGACCAGGUAAGGAAUCUCCCUCUAUUUCUACUUUGCUUAUAUAUGUUUUUUAUCAUGAAUAAAUAUUGCAUUUUAUCAACUGCUU